AAUUGAGGGGCGGAUGAAAUUCUAUGAAGAUAAAUUGGUCGAGCAGGCUCAUGUUCUUGAAGAAGCUCGGGCGCUCCAAGCUGCUGAAGUCACUCGUCUCACUGAAGAACUCAGAGCAAAAGAAGAAGAGGCAGUGACGAGGGAGGCGGUUGCUUAUGUGAACGCCCAUGGGGACCUUUUGGCCGAGCUCAAGAAGCGUUAUCCCGAGGAAGACUUCUCCUGGAUGGUCGACCUGGCUCCCCAAGACGAAGAGGAAAGCGAGGAGGAGGCCGAGGGUGAGAGAGGGAGCGAACAAAAUGUAGAUCAGGCUGGGGGUGAUCCC
rnacentral:misc_RNA from 1 species